CCUCACCCCCGCCGCCUUCCUCCUCCUCCUCUGCCUUCCGGAGGCCCCACCCGCCGCCGCCGCCGGUGACCCGACCCCGACUCCAUGGCCCCCGCAGUUCCACGCGACGCUGGUCAUGGACUCCCACGGCAACAUGUCCAUCGCCGACCUCUGGUACGACUGGCCGGGCGGCCGCAACCUCCACGUCAUCCGCUACCAGCUCGCCGACGACGCGCCCUACUUCGACAACGAGUUGAACAACGGCA
rnacentral:lncRNA from 1 species